GCCCGGGUGGUGAAAUGGCAAACACUCACGACUUAAGAUCGUGCGCCGAAAGGCUUGCGGGUUCAAGUCCCGCCCCGGGCA
rnacentral:tRNA from 1 species